rnacentral:lncRNA from 1 species
UCUUAUUUCAAUUAUACAUUCACCUAUCGCCCUUCAUAGAUCUUGAUAUAGAACUGAUAAUGGGUGAUCAUCUCUGUUCAUGUUUUUCGCCAUGCAAACCAUGUGCUUCGAUGGACGAAUUCACCUUUUAUGCCUUUGGUGUGUGACUUGCUUUGUUGGGCGAGUGUUUGGCUCGCUAGGGGAUGGCCAUGAUUUUCUUCUUUUGAGUUCAAUGCUUGUAACUUUCAUUCUUCUUCUAUUAGACAUACACUGUGUUGGAAAAAAUAGUUAAAGUGCAAACAAUACUAAUAUAAUCUUGGUACUAUAAUAUUUGCAAUUAUUUUAGUUUUUAUAAUGUUUCUUGCAAAACAAUUCAAUAAGUGUCAUGAGUUACAUAGAUAAAAUAAUAUUCAUUUGACACUUAUCAAUGGUUUUUAUGAUGUUUUUAUCUAAUUACGGAUAUAUAAGCAUCUAGGUUUUUAUAAUGUUUUUAUCUACGUACAAAUAAGAGUUUACAAUGUGCCCAAACAAGCAACAUAUAUAUUAAACAAUGGUCUUUUACAUGUCAACUAGUUAAUUAUGAAUCUGUAAUUUACGAUUAUAUUGUCUCUUGAAUAUCUAUUAAAUAAAAGCAUUGUGUGGAAAUACCCAAUUACAGACUAAUCAGAGUUCACAAUUUAAGUAAAAAUAAAAUAAAAAAUCAACUAGUAUAGUGCUUAUUAUUUAAGUGGAUACAAAAUACAUGACUCAAACCCAAUUAUUACUAUUUAAAAUGGAAUGAAUUUUCCCUUAUGUGUUCUUUUAGUCCAAGAAUACCAAUGUAACCAUAAAUUGUUUACAAUAUUCAUAUGUAUUUAAUUUUAAUGAGUUCAUUUAAAAUUUAUAUUGUUAUUUAUUUAUUU